UUAAACAGCGACGCGGCGUGAUGGUCACACUGGAGAUGGUGCCGGCUAUUACAUCGGUGGUGUGAUGAAGGACUCGGCGUGGUGAAGGACGUCGGCGAUUAUAAUAGCCUCCAUGGGUUCGGUGCCCUCUGCGACGCAAUAGCCAACGCCUUCUGAAGCUUAUUGUGUAUCGCCUGAAGGAGAGAAUCAAUGCUGGACGUGACAGAAGCAGUGUACACCAUUCCUUCCAGCCAAGAACCAGCGCCCUCUUUCCGCGACCGUGUGAUUCAAUCGUAACACUCCAUGAAUAUCCGUAUCCUUUUUUCAAAUGGAGAAAGAAUAUGCAUGAUGCCUACCUGUGUCCCUCUGGAACGGAAUGAGAUUUUUUCUUUUUUAUCUGAAGUGAACCCUAGCCCUCCAAAGUGUGUCUCUCUUUUCCCAAAAAUGAAAUCAGCAGUUGCAGCAUGUCAUAGACCGUGACCCCUUUCUCCCAUUGAAAGUCCAAAUCAAAAGCUUUUGUGCGUGGAGUGCAUUAGGGGAAGCAUGAAGUCCAGCCCAUUUCCGUAUGCACCCCUCUGACAUGUGGAUGGCCACUUUUUUUCCUGUAAAAUGAAAUUAAGGAGCUCUCCAUUUCUCACGUGCCAGCAUUUUUUUUUAUUGAGUCUGUAUGCAUUUUACAGGCUUAACAUCAAAUUAAAAGGACGUUGCUCCCUACACCUCCACACAUGCUCCCUCCAUCUCUCCAAAUUCUUUUAAUUUUUUUUUUUUUUUAAGUUAAAAGUUUUUUACGUUUUACCGUUUAAGAUUUUUUAAUUAAGUUGAAAAUCUUAUUUCUCUUCAUCUUUGCUCUGCACCUCCACCCAUGUUUCACGAUUCUCUCUUCUUCAUUUCCGUCUCACUUUCUCUCGUUUCAUCUUUCUUUUCUUUCUUUUUCCUUCAUUUUUCUUCAAUAAAAAUGUAAAAAUGAAAAUCCCUAUAAAAAAAGCUAAAAGCAUCAGAAAUUUAAUCGCGUCACAAAGAACGCAAUACUACAAGCUGUUGAAGAAUAUAAGCGGUCCAAAGAUCCAAAGCCAAAAAAUAAUAAUACACCAUAAAUUAAACUAUCAAACAAAGCCAAAAGAGAAUGCUGAAGAAAAUCAGUGAAGAAAAUCAACAUGAAUGGAAAACAAACCGAAUGAAAUUUGGAUCAUGGAUGCUCCUCCACGUCAAAGAUCAACAACAAUGAAACCUAAAAAGAAAAAUGAGAAGGAGACAAAUGAAGGAAAAAGAAAGAAAAAAAGGAAGAAAAAAAGGAGAGAAAAUGAGACGGAAAUGCAGAAGAGAGGAAUCGUGAAACAUGGGUGGGGGUGUAGCUCCAGAGCAAAGAUGAAGAGAAAUAAGAUUUUCAAAUUAAUUAAAAAAUCUUAAACGGUAAAAAGUAAAAAAGUUUUAAUUUAAAGAAUAAAAUUAAAAUUAAAAUAAUUUGGGGAAGUAGAGGGAGUGUGUGGAGGUGCAGGGAGUAACACCCAAUUAAAAUGCCUACAGCCCUUUUAAAAGCCCAUCAACGUAUCUUUCAUCCUUCAACAAUGGAAUUCGUGUUUUAUUCAAAGUUGGAUGUGACUGUCACCGUACCAUGCCAUUUUUGCUCCCAAGAAAUGAUUUUUUUUUUUAAAAGCAAAUGAAGGUCGAUAAUGAUGGUCUGAUAUUUUUUCAUUUUUUUAUUCUCUUUCUUUUUUUCAUUUUUUGUUUUUUCUUCUUUUAUUUUCCUCUCUUUUUUUUUACUUUUCAGUUUCAAAUUCCUCUUUUUCAUUUCUUUUAUUCUUUUUUUCAUUUUGCUUUUUUUUUUUUUCUUUCAUUUUGCUUUUUUUUCAUUCUUUUUUCUUUUUCCUCUUUUCUUUCCAAAAAGUAAAUAGAAAAUAAAAUAAAAUCUAAUAAUACUAAAAAAACUAAAUCAAAUACCAAAAUAAACUAAAAAUUAAAAUAAUAAAAUAAAAUAAAAAAUAAAAAUAAAAUAAAAUAAGGCAAAAAGCAAAAACUAAGUCCUAUUAUUUAGUCACCGGACGAAAUUGGGUGUUGACAAGCGUCAACAAACCACAAAAACUCAUCUAAAUACAUUAUUGAUCAGCGUUGAGGGAAAAACAGUGCGCCCCAAUGUCACCUACAAAGAAAAACCAAGCAAAAUCCAAAACUACCAGAGUAGCGCUCAAUGCUAGGUACCGUUGAGCAGUAUCAGUGUAGACUUUUCAGAAUGGCCCUAGCUGGCUUCUAAUCUCCACC
rnacentral:lncRNA from 1 species